rnacentral:rRNA from 1 species
UACGGAGGGAGCUAGCGUUAUUCGGAAUUACUGGGCGUAAAGCGCACGUAGGCGGCUUUGUAAGUUAGAGGUGAAAGCCUGGAGCUCAACUCCAGAAUUGCCUUUAAGACUGCAUCGCUUGAAUCCAGGAGAGGUGAGUGGAAUUCCGAGUGUAGAGGUGAAAUUCGUAGAUAUUCGGAAGAACACCAGUGGCGAAGGCGGCUCACUGGCCCGGUACUGACGCUGAGGUGCGAAAGCGUGGGGAGCAAACAGG